rnacentral:rRNA from 1 species
UAUUGCGCAAUGGGCGAAAGCCUGACGCAGCGACGCCGCGUGGGUGAUGAAGGCCUUCGGGUCGUAAAGCCCUGUCGAGGGGGAAGAACCAGCAGUGACCUAAUACGUCGCUGCCCUGACGGUACCCCUAAAGGAAGCACCGGCUAACUCCGUGCCAGCAGCCGCGGUAAUACGGAGGGUGCGAGCGUUGUUCGGAAUCACUGGGCGUAAAGCGCGUGUAGGCGGUCUGUUAAGUCUGAUGUGAAAGCCCGGGGCUCACCCCCGGAAGUGCAUUGGAAACUGGCAGACUGGAGUCCCGGAGAGGAGGGUGGAAUUCCUGGUGUAGCGGUGAAAUGCGUAGAUAUCAGGAGGAACACCGGUGGCGAAGGCGGCCCUCUGGACGGUGACUGACGCUGAGACGCGAAAGCGUGGGGAGCAAACAGG